rnacentral:rRNA from 1 species
AUACGUAGGGGGCGAGCGUUGUCCGGAAUGAUUGGGCGUAAAGGGCGCGUAGGCGGCCCGGUAAGUCUGGAGUGAAAGUCCUGUUUUUAAGAUGGGAAUUGCUUUGGAUACUGUCGGGCUUGAGUGCAGGAGAGGUAAGUGGAAUUCCCAGUGUAGCGGUGAAAUGCGUAGAGAUUGGGAGGAACACCAGUGGCGAAGGCGACUUACUGGACUGUAACUGACGCUGAGGCGCGAAAGUGUGGGGAGCAAACAGGAUUAGAUACCCUGGCAGUCCACGCGGUAAACGAUGAAUGCUAGGUGUUGCGGGUAUCGACCCCUGCAGUGCCGGAGUCAACACAAUAAGCAUUCCGCCUGGGGAGUACGGCCGCAAGGUUGAAACUCAAAUGAAUUGACGGGG